rnacentral:tRNA from 1 species
GGUUGUGGCUCAGUGGUAAAGCGCUCGCCUAGCAUGUCCAUGGCUCUGGAUUCGAUCUUCAGCACCA